AGAGUUUGAUCAUGGCUCAGAACGAACGCUGGCGGCAUGCUUAACACAUGCAAGUCGAACGUCCCUGGGGUUUACGGACCCUGGGGGAGUGGCGGACGGGUGCGUAACACAUGGGUGACCUGGCCCCAGGUGAGGGAUACCGGCGAGAAAUCGCCGACAAGCCCGCAUGAGCUCUGGCUUCUCAAGGAGCCAGCGCAAAGCUGUGCUUUCUGCAAGGGAAGCGUGGCGCCCGGGGAUGGGCCUGUGGCCGAUUAGCUGGUUGGUGGGGUAAGGGCUCACCAAGGCGACGAUCGGUAGCUGGUCUGAGAGGACGAUCAGCCACACUGGGAUUGAGAACGGCCCAGACUCCUACGGGGGGCAGCAGUGAGGAAUUUUCCGCAAUGGAGGCAACUCUGACGGAGCAACGCCGCGUGCAGGAGGACGCGUUUCGACGUGUAAACUGCUUUUGGGUGGGACGAGCAAGGACGGUACCACCCGAAGAAGCCCCGGCUAACUACGUGCCAGCCGCCGCGGUAAUAC
rnacentral:rRNA from 1 species